UCCAAACAUGUCUUUGAAGACCAAGCCACCCACACUCCUUUCCCACGCGGUAUUAAUUGCUGUCCACAGCUGAUGAAGAGGGGAGGUUCAUCGCUUCUCUGGACUUACCCCAAGAGAAGAGAGGCGUUCCCUAGCGACCCUAUUCACCACGCAGCCAACGCUACGGGCUUCACCUGUCCUCAGCUUUCCCCAGGUCUCUGGCCUACCAGCCAUGGCCUGUGGGGCUGGAAAGUUCACUAAAGCCCAGAAAGCCCUUCGAGGUGGCGAUCUGGCCCUACACUCUCUUGGGUCCCUUCAUUAUCCGGACUCCUGACCCUUGUCCUUCCCAGAAGGAAGGCACUUGUGCCUGGGAGGGAACUUUUGCUUUUGUAGGGUUCCGACGGAGCACAGGGCCAAAGGGAGUCCCGGAUCCAGAGUCCCCGCGGGGCACGCGUUCUGUCUCAGCACCUGGAACUUGGGAGUGGCUUUCCGAGGGCAUCCUUCACCCUCCCACCCCACCCCAAAACACAAGCGCGCCUGCCGAGCGCCCAUUGCCUACGGCAGCUCGGAAAUUUUACCCAAAUCUCCAGCGCAAAGGCAGACGGCCCCUUUAAGGGCCGCUCGGCUUACCUUUGCUCAGCUUGCCCGGCGCGCUGCCCCUCUCCGGCCGCCGCCGCGGACUCUGUGCGUGUCCCGGUCGUGGCGAGCCGGCUCCCGCCCUCCGCGGCCGC
rnacentral:lncRNA from 1 species